GUAAGGAGUUUUCGGCAAUGGGGGGAACCCUGACCGAGCAACGCCGCGUGAGUGAUGACGGCCCUAUGGGUUGUAAAGCUCUGUUAUAAGGGACGAACAGCUUUGCUAGGAAAUGAGCAGAGUCUGACGGUACUUUAUCAGAAAGCCACGGCUAACUACGUGCCAGCAGCCGCGGUAAUACGUAGGUGGCAAGCGUUAUCCGGAAUUAUUGGGCGUAAAGAGUGAGCAGGCGGCAGAUUAAGUUUGAGGUUAAAGCGUGGGGCUCAACCCCAUAAAGCCUUGAAAACUGAUCAGGUAGAGUACGAGAGAUGUGAAGGGAACUCCAUGUGUAGCGGUGAAAUGCGUAGAUAUAUGGAAGAACACCAGUGGCGAAGGCGCUUCACAAGCUCGAAACUGACGCUCAGUCACGAAAGCGUGGGUAGCAAAUAGGAUUAGAAACCCUAGUAGUCC
rnacentral:rRNA from 1 species